UUGUCGACAUUUUUCAUUAUGGGCAUUUCAGGGCAAUCUUUCACAUUUAGCUUAUUGCUUAUUGAACUUUGGAAUUUGUGUUUCUCAGAAUUGGUUGAUGUACAAAGCAGCAUGAAUAGCAAAAGACUGAAAGUUGCUAUUCAAUGGAGCUUGGAAAUUAAGAAGUUUACUUUUGGCUGUAAUCAAUGGGUGUUUAAUAGUUUACACCCUGGAACUGAUUGCUGUCGAAAAUCGUGUAACGUUCAAGUUUAUUUCAUCCACAUAUCAUUUUUAUGUUGUGCUCUGCACGUGCCCAGCCGAAGGGCCAACGUGUCCAAAACAGCGUAAAAAUUAUGAUUUCACUUGGGCAGAAGAAUAAGAAGAAAUAAUGGCAAGAGAAACUAAGUUUUCGUGGAGUGAAGUACUCGUAUAUUUUGUAAAUGUAGUGGAAGAUUUAAAUAAGUUUUAAAGAAGUGCUCAGUAGCAGGAAAAACUUCUAUUACAAAAUAAACUAAACAACUGAAUAAUUUUAAUAAA